CAGCCGCCGCGGUAAUACGGAGGGUGCAAGCGUUAUCCGGAUUUAUUGGGUUUAAAGGGUCCGUAGGCGGACUUAUAAGUCAGUGGUGAAAGCCUGUCGCUUAACGAUAGAACUGCCAUUGAUACUGUAAGUCUUGAGUAUAUUUGAGGUAGCUGGAAUAAGUAGUGUAGCGGUGAAAUGCAUAGAUACUACUUAUAACACCAAUUGCGAAGGCAGGUUACCAAGAUAUAACUGACGCUGAGGGACGAAAGCGUGGGUAGCGAACAGGAUUAGAUACCCGCGUAGUCCCUGUCUCUUAUAA
rnacentral:rRNA from 1 species